UACGUAGGGUGCAGGCGUUAAUCGGAAUUACUGGGCGUAAAGCGUGCGCAGGCGGUUUGCUAAGACAGGUGUGAAAUCCCCGGGCUUAACCUGGGAACUGCGCUUGUUACUGGCAAGCUGGAGUGUGGCAGAGGGGGGGUGGAAUUCCACGGUGUAGCAGUGAAAUGCGUAGAGAUGUGGAGGAACACCGAUGGCGAAGGCAGCCCCCUGGGCUAACACUGACGCCUCAUGCACGAAAGCGUGGGGAGCAAACAGG
rnacentral:rRNA from 1 species